rnacentral:pre_miRNA from 1 species
AACGCGAAAUGCUAGCUGUAAUCCUUUAGUGGUGAUUAAAGCUUGUAUUUUGUGUUAC